UGUCAAGGAAGAAGCUAGGUGUGACGUGUGUAGUUACCCAUAUCACGUGACGUGUCUGUGAUAAAAAAAAAACAUGAGAGUAAACAUUAAGUUAACAAUACUACACAAAAGUAUAACUUUUAAAAGUGUUUAAUUUGUAUUCUGUAUGCACAACGCCAUGCAGCGUGUAUGAUAUAUCACACAACUCUGUAAUUUCAUUCAAACAACAGCAGACGUCACUUAUGCACAGAUAUGAAAGGAUAAACUUGAACUUGUAAACCUUUGUAUCCAUAUGUAACAACGCAUUUGCAUUACAUCUAGGUCAACAGUUAGGACCCUUAUCGGGUCUAAAAUACAGAGCUCGAGCACUAUUCAAGGUCGGUCAUCUACCGAGAACCGAUAGGUGUUCUACCCGGCAUACACACCACAUCAUUCUGGGGAAGCGGACACUUGUGCAGUCUUUUCGAAAAAUAUUGUGGUAUAUAUACAUAGGUCUGAACACCAAAAUGCGGGGCCCCGGCCCUUUGCUGGUCGUGUGGCUUGCCGCCAUUCUCGUUGCCACCGCAUGCGGACAACGCUGUACCCGUCCUCCAAUAUGGAGGACGGUGAACGGCACAAGUCCCAUGCAGGAAUCGGAAGGCAACGUACGAGUGGUGGCGCUGCUGAAGGCCAGCUGAGGUUUUUGUGUGAGAGUCGCCACGACACUCGAACAAAUCCGAUCUAGCUUCGAACGUCGUGGCAUAACUGGCGUAGAAUUCAUGAUUGUCAACAUGAAUCUCGAUGACGCUCGAGAGCAUGUUCAGAAUCUGAUAAACGUCGUAAACACAGCAGAAAUGCCCAUUUAUCAGGACAGCGAUGAUCUAGAAAUAUGGACGACACUUGGCGGAGAUAAAGACUACAUCUACAUGUAUGACGGAUGUGGAAUGCUGCGAUACCUGCUGACAUCUGAUGACAUCAUAAUCCGCGACGCUAAUGCCAUAAACAUUCGUCUUAUCAAGCGCCGCAUACGCCAAGUAACAAGGCGCGAUCGGUGCGCCCGGCAGUGUCGGAGGUACAGACGGCGCCUGAUGUCGACGGUAGAUAUGGACCGGAUGCAGGGACAGCAACCGGAUGUUAUUUCUAUGUCGCGUCAAAGAAGUUCCAGUUCCGAUGAUAACAGGACGCCUACGUGUAUGGAGCAGAAUUGCCGAGGACGUAACGGACCACAUAAUAGACACAGAAUGGUCCAUCGGUUAUGACAGCAUUUGCAGAGACGAGGUCUUCUGGGAGAAUCCACACAAUCUUGAUUGUGUCCGCGCAACUAUCAGGACGUAUGUACGUGCACACGUUAUCGCCAGACAGGAAGAAUGCGUUUCUGUGCAUGCUCAGAAAUCACGCCUUCAAUUAGCGUACGUUGUCUUUGAUAUGACUGUAACCAGUUUAGAAACGGACAUGACGUAGAGAUCCCCGUUGUCCGACCGUCUUGACGACUAUUGACCAGCUGACACUGUAACAGUGACAAUAACCUUCAGUCGGCGACAUGUCAGUGACCGACAACUCAGUCGUCUGCCGUCGCCGUGGCGACGUCGAUUUCCUGAUCUUGUGACGAUGGUGCCUGUGUAUGACAAGGAACUAGCGACUCUUGUAUGUGACGGUCGACCGAUGCUGGAACAUCAUGACAAUGACAAAUCGACGCGACGUCUUGUUUUUGACCUAGCGACGCGUCGCAUGGUGACAUGUGACACUGUCAAACGACGUCGACAGGCGUCAGUGAGAACACCUGACAGUGACAUGGACAACAGAGCGGUCAGAGUAGUGACAGUGUUGUCUGAGAAUGACAGCACACGACUGGGAACUGCCACUGAGACUGUGAGGUUUCCAGAGAUGGAAACCUCCAGUGUCAAUGACCAAUAGGCCCAACUCCAACCGCCGUUGUCCACUGACGAACCGGAAGUGACACAGGAAGUAGGUGACAUUGACCAACAACCGUCACGACUGGUAAAACUUGAGAUUGCAGGUCACGUGGUAACGGCGUUCAACGUCCUUGCUCGUGAGGAACAGACCAUCAGACUUGCAGAUGACAGUCAUUAACUUCUGACAUAACAUCAGACGUAAUUUGACAGUGCGACGGCCAGGAAGACGCGUCAGAAAUGUGAACGUGACAGAGUCUGUUCGGUCAUCCGGACGGCACCUGACAGUGUCACUCCGUCAGCACGGACUGACAGUGACAGGGUCUGACCACAGACGGAAGCAUCUGACAGGAGACUGGGGUAGUUGGCGCACCCGUCUGACCUUGACAACAACAAUGACAAUGACCCGUCGCCGCGUGACAAUGCCGUAGCAGCCGAAACGGGAGAUCACUCUGACUGUGACAGUCGGCUGGACGCAAUUGACAGUGUUCGGGGUCGCAUUUAACGUAAACAGGAUAUUUGAAUAACAUACAAACACCUUUUCCCUUGAACAAUGAUAAGUGAACUAGCAUUAUCUAUAUCUAAGAAAAUUACAGCAUAAGAACUUAUUUUUAACUCUUAAUGAAAUCAUGGAAGAGGAGAUAUUCAAACCAUUUUGCAUGCUAACACAUAGAAAUUCUACUAAAAAAGAUUUACUGGGAAGAAAAUUCAAAAAGUUUACAAAAUGCAACCCUCAAGCAACUGACCGGAACAUUACCUUAAUAUACACGUAUCAAUGGUCUCAAGGACGAGAUGGUCAGAUAGUGGACAGCCUAUAUGACGACAUUUGGACAAAACCCAAAAGGUAUCCAAUGUUCAGAUAAUCCGGCUGACCAGCUGACCAAUGCUCUGAUGUGACACUAUUGAUAUUACUUGACCAAAGAACCAUCUUGUGACAAAUACAAUCAGACUAACCACUAGUAGUAGUGGCCAACUUAUUUAGUUUAGAUGGCGAUUUGAGAACGGGGAGGAAGUGUCGAAUGUUUGUUUCUAAGAGAGAGGUAUAUUGAUAUUUGUAUUUUAUUUACUAUCGUCGGAUAGUCACUGCUGAUUUUGCUUUGGCGAUGAUAUAAUCCCGAAGCGAAAUCAGCAGUGGGUAUCCGACGAUGUCUGUUAACUAACAGAAAUAUGUUUGAAAAACAAACAGAAGAUGAUAUGCAUUAAGAAUUAAUUAAACAGGGGUUUGGAUCGCUUUAUAUAUAUACAGUUAUCCCGUUUCUGACAAGCUGAACCCAUUACCUUAGAAACGUAAGUAGUGGCUACUUACCCAUAACCUGGUGAUAUAAAGAGAUUCAAACCUCUGGAGUCACAAGGUUAUAUUACUGAAAACAAUGUUAAUUAACUGUUAUAGGUUGGCAACAAAGAACGUAUAUGCAAAACACAUUUGAGAGAAAGAAUAUUUUACAUUUAUAUUUUAACAACUGUCGGCAAUGCAAGAUCAUAUAUGAGUUGGCGGGGAUAUUUUGAAGUGAUGUGUUUUCGCCAUGUGAGGAUCCCACCUCCGAAAUUGUUUUUUUUUCCAAAUGAAAUACUAAUAAUAACAGAGAUUAGAGAGAUGUGAAAAUCACGACUUUUGCUAUUUUGCAUAUAUUUUGUUUGUGACUAGCCCUCAUCAAGCCCCUGUGUUCACUGUGAGACAGUAAAGGGCAUUUGUGAACAAGAAAUCUGUAUUUGUUUGACUGAUCCGUCCAUACCCCAUUCUAUGUAUACAGCUGAACAUGAUAAACAUUUAAGAACUACCUAAAUGAACAUUUUUGUUCUUGUGGUGGGGUCCAGUUUCGAGUUAGAAAUCGUAAAGAAAAAAACAUUUGGUCGAGGCAAGGGGUUUCUUAACCACAUUAACACCCUGGGAUUAAAUGAUAGCUGAGAAUAUUUUGAGGAAACAUGAAUUGCAGAAUAUGAUGGGAAUUUCUGGCACACGGUGAAAAGUUGUGUUAUAAACCCUUGUGGUGAAUAUGCUGUUAGCAUUAGCUGCAGUAAAAUCGCAGCUUUUUACUCAGUAAGCUAACGCAUCAUAAAGUGCAAAUGAUGUGUAAUCAGGAUAAAAUAAAGGGAUUAAAGUCGACCCAUACGUGUAACAUCACGACCAGUGAGGCAAUUUUUUUUACCACAUUAACACCCUGGGAUAAAAUGAUAGCUGAGAAUGUUUUAAGGAAACAUGAAUUACACAAUAUGAUGCGAAUUUCUGGCACACGGUGAAAAGUUGUGUUAUAAACCCUUGUGGUGAAUAUGCUGUUAGCAUUAGCUGCAGUAAAAUCGCAGCUUUUUACUCCGUAAGCUAAUGCAUCAUAAAGUGCAAAUGAUGUGCAAUCAGGACAAAAUGGGUUAAAAUAACAAAUACAUAUAUUCUGGUUCACAAUGCCCUGUGUAAGAAGAGAGAGGGAGAGAAUUGCCGUGAGUGAUAUUGUCGUUAAGGUACACGUGUUUGUCGAUAUGUGACGACCCGCUAUAAAGCUAGGGAUAGAAGUAGUGGAGUCUGAGGGAUUCAAGUCGACCCCAUACGUGUAGCAUUACGACCAGCGAGUGUAUGGAUAGUAAAACACUUCCUCCCAAUAAAUAACAUUAUAAUAAUCAUAAUUCUGUUAUGAAUUUGAACUAAUAAACAUGAUAUUAUUCAG